GAUGAACGCUAGCUACAGGCUUAACACAUGCAAGUCGAGGGGCAGCAUGAACAAAGCUUGCUUUGUUUGAUGGCGACCGGCGCACGGGUGCGUAACAGGUGUGCAAUCUGUCCAUAAUCGGGGAAUAGCCCAGCGAAAGGAAGAUUAAUACCCGAUGGGAUGCAUUUCCGGCAUCGGAGAUGCAUUAAAGAUUUUAUCGGUGACGGAUGAGGAUGCGUACGAUUAGCUUGUUGGCGGGGUAACGGCCCACCAAGGCAACGAUCGUUAGGGGUUCUGAGAGGAAGGUCCCCCANACUGGAACUGAGACACGGUCCAGACUCCUACGGGAGGCAGCAGUGAGGAAUAUUGGUCAAUGGGCGGGAGCCUGAACCAGCCAAGUAGCGUGAAGGAUGACUGCCCUACGGGUUGUAAACUUCUUUUGUUUGGGAAUAAAAGACGCUAACGUGUAGCGUUCUGCAUGUACCUUACGAAUAAGCAUCGGCUAAUUCCGUGCCAG
rnacentral:rRNA from 1 species